rnacentral:rRNA from 2 species
CAAGGCGACGAUCCCUAGCUGGUCUGAGAGGAUGACCAGCCACACUGGAACUGAGACACGGUCCAGACUCCUACGGGAGGCAGCAGUGGGGAAUAUUGCACAAUGGGCGCAAGCCUGAUGCAGCCAUGCCGCGUGUAUGAAGAAGGCCUUCGGGUUGUAAAGUACUUUCAGCGGGGAGGAAGGGAGUAAGGUUAAUAACCUUAUUCAUUGACGUUACCCGCAGAAGAAGCACCGGCUAACUCCGUGCCAGCAGCCGCGGUAAUACGGAGGGUGCAAGCGUUAAUCGGAAUUACUGGGCGUAAAGCGCACGCAGGCGGUCUGUCAAGUCGGA